rnacentral:rRNA from 1 species
UACAGAGGUUGCGAGCGUUGUUCGGAAUUAUUGGGCGUAAAGCGCGUGUAGGCGGGACGGCAUGUCGAAUGUGAAAGCCCUCGGCUCAACCGAGGAAGUGCGUUCGAAACUACCGUUCUUGAGUAUCGGAGAGGGUGGCGGAAUUCCCGGUGUAGAGGUGAAAUUCGUAGAUAUCGGGAGGAACACCAGUGGCGAAGGCGGCCACCUGGACGAAUACUGACGCUGAGACGCGAAAGCGUGGGGAUCAAACAGG